UGUAUUCUUCCUGCAGUUCCCCUACACAACAGUGCUUGAAUCAAUUACUCUAGUGAAAUUUUGACAACGUCAGAAGAGACAUAAAACACUCAAGGUACUUGUUCUUAAAAAAAUGAAACAAUGAAAUCAUUUUCUGCUUUAUAAUAAUUAAAUUCAAUCCCUUCUCUUUUCUUCUAAUUAGUGUCUACUUAAACUACAGCAAAACCAGAUUGACAAAUGCACUGCUCAGCAUCGAAUCUCUUGGAAAGAAUUUAACAGGUCUAAUGGGACAAAUUCAAAUGUGCCUGGUAGUACAAGCUAUGACAUAAAAUAGAUUUCUGAUUUAUAGCUCCUUUGUCAUCUACUCAAUUCAAAAAUCAAAAUAUGCUCGACCCAAAAGAAAAAGAAAAAAGAAAAAAGAAAAAAGAAAAAAAGAAAACGACAUGCAUAAUGCUUGUACUAUCGAGCAAGCUCGAAGUAGGAGCGCUCCCCACAUAUUGUCAAAAAAAUAAAAACGUGACAUAUGCUACAAAUUAUGAGAGGGCAUUAACUAUUGCAAUCAGUGUUCCCACAGGCAACUACCAACUCUAUCGAAUUUUUCGAAUUUAUUAAUAAAAAAUAAAAGUUG
rnacentral:lncRNA from 1 species